AUGCAGGAUAAGUUACAGUCCAGCUGUCAGUGCUGGUUUGUCGUUCCCCCUGCACAAAUAAAUCUGGUUCCUACUAUCCCUGUGUGUUUGAAUCCCACAGCUCACAGGGACGCUUGGUUUCAGACAU